UCCGAGGUAGCCAAGCUGGCAAGGCGCCUGACUGUUAAUCAGGAAAUGCGCAGGUUCGAGUCCUGCCCUCGGAGCCA
rnacentral:tRNA from 1 species